rnacentral:rRNA from 1 species
CCAGACUCCUACGGGAGGCAGCAGUGAGGAAUAUUGGUCAAUGGUCGGGAGACUGAACCAGCCAAGCCGCGUGAGGGAGGAAGGUACAGAGUAUCGUAAACCUCUUUUGUCAGGGAACAAAGGCGGGGACGUGUCCCCGGAUGAGUGUACCUGAAGAAAAAGCAUCGGCUAACUCCGUGCCAGCAGCCGCGGUAAUACGGAGGAUGCGAGCGUUAUCCGGAUUUAUUGGGUUUAAAGGGUGCGUAGGCGGGCUGUUAAGGCAGGGGUCAAAGGGCGGGGCUCAACCCCGGCCUGCCGUUGAAACUGGCGGCCUCGAGUGGGCGAGAAGUAUGCGGAAUGCGUGGUGUAGCGGUGAAAUGCAUAGAUAUCACGCAGAACUCCGAUUGCGAAGGCAGCAUACCGGCGCGCAACUGACGCUCAUGCACGAAAGCGUGGGUAUCGAACAGGAGGAGAUACCCGGGUA